UACGUAGGGUGCAAGCGUUGUCCGGAAUUAUUGGGCGUAAAGAGCUCGUAGGCGGUCUGUUGCGUCGGCUGUGAAAACCCGGGGCUCAACCCCGGGCCUGCAGCCGAUACGGGCAGACUAGAGUUCGGCAGGGGAGACUGGAAUUCCUGGUGUAGCGGUGAAAUGCGCAGAUAUCAGGAGGAACACCGGUGGCGAAGGCGGGUCUCUGGGCCGACACUGACACUGAGGAGCGAAAGCCAGGGGAGCAAACGGG
rnacentral:rRNA from 1 species